UACGAAGGGUGCAAGCGUUACUCGGAAUUACUGGGCGUAAAGCGUGCGUAGGUGGUUCGUUAAGUCUGAUGUGAAAGCCCUGGGCUCAACCUGGGAAUGGCAUUGGAAACUGGCGACCUAGAGUGCGGUAGAGGGUAGUGGAAUUCCCGGUGUAGCAGUGAAAUGCGUAGAGAUCGGGAAGAAUACCCGUGGCGAAGGCGGCCAGCUGGGCCAGGUCCGACACUGAGGCGCGAAAGCGUGGGGAGCAAACAGG
rnacentral:rRNA from 1 species